rnacentral:rRNA from 1 species
CCUACGGGAGGCAGCAGUGAGGAAUAUUGGUCAAUGGACGAGAGUCUGAACCAGCCAAGUAGCGUGAAGGAUGACUGCCCUAUGGGUUGUAAACUUCUUUUAUAUGGGAAUAAAACGUUCCACGUGUGGGAUUUUGUAUGUACCAUAUGAAUAAGGAUCGGCUAACUCCGUGCCAGCAGCCGCGGUAAUACGGAGGAUACGAGCGUUAUCCGGAUUUAUUGGGUUUAAAGGGAGCGUAGGUGGAUUGUUAAGUCAGUUGUGAAAGUUUGCGGCUCAACCGUAAAAUUGCAGUUGAAACUGGCAGUCUUGAGUACAGUAGAGGUGGGCGGAAUGCGUGGUGUAGCGGUGAAAUGCUUAGAUAUCACGAAGAACUCCGAGUGCGAAGGCAGUUCACUGGACUGCAACUGACACUGAGGCUCGAAAGUGUGGGUAUCAAACAGGAUUAGAUACCCCAGUAGUC